GUGCUCGCUUCAGCAGCACAUAUACUAAAAUUGGAACAAUACAGAGAAGGUUAGCAUGGCCCCUGUGCAAGGAUGAUGCACAAAUUUCUGAACCAUUCCAUUUUUUU